rnacentral:rRNA from 1 species
AUUGAACGCUGGCGGCAGGCCUAACACAUGCAAGUCGAGCGAGCGGCGGACGGGUGAAUAAUGUAUGGGGACUGCCCGAUCGAGGGGGAUAACUACUGGAAACGGUGGCUAAUACCGCAUACUAUCGGAUAACCCAUAUGGGAUUAGCUAGUAGGUGGGGUAAAGGCUCACAUAGGCGACGAUCUCUAGCUGGUCUGAGAGGAUGAUCGGCCCCACUGGUACUGAGACACGGCCCAGACUCAUAGGGAGGCAACAGUGGGGAAUAGUGCACAAUGUGCGCAAGCCUGAUGCAGCCAUGCCGCGUGUAUGAAGAAGGCCUUAGGGUUGUAAAGUACUUUCAGCGGGGAGGAGUUACCCGCAGAAGAAGCACCGGCUAACUCCGUGCCAGCAGCCGCGGUAAUAC